rnacentral:rRNA from 1 species
AUGAACAUCGGGUUAUUUGGCACCAGAAUUCUACGGUGGAAAGCUCACAUUCAAGUCAGACAUAUACAGUUUGGGUGUUAUAAUCAUAGAGAUAUUAAUAUGCCGUAUGAAAUAUACCAAAGACUGCUCUGCUUUGAGUAUAUACCCAAAGGGUAUCUUUAUGAUUAUAUCACCGGUCACAUUCAAGUCAGACAUAUACAGUUUGGGUGUUAUAAUCAUAGAGAUACUAACAUGACAUAUGGGAUAUACCAAAGAUUGCUCUGCUUUGAGUAUGUAUCUAAAGGGAGUCUUCAUGAUUAUAUCACCGAUGCAUCUCGUGGACUUGAAUGGGGCAAGAGGUAUCUAAUUAUUAAAGGAAUUUGUGAGGGCUUAUAUUACCUUAAACAAGAAAGUAUUAUUAACUUAGAUCUGAAACCAGCCAAUAUAUCGGUGGACAACAAUAUGUUGCCCAAAAUUGCCGACUUUGGUCUCCCAAGAUGUUAUGAUGAAAAUCAAAAUUGGAUCAAUGUAAGCCGGUUAAGUCUCUCAAAGCUCAUCAAUGGUGGCUUUGUAGUGGUUUAUAAGGGAAUUCUUUAA